UUUCCGUAGGUGAGCCUGCGGAAGAAUCAUUAAUGAGUUGUCAUGGGGUUCGAUGCUGGCAGCCAAUUUUUGGAUGCAUGUGCUUGCCCUAACAAUCAUCUUCCAAACACCUGUGCACAUUUUUGAGGGAGUCUUGAGUUGGUUGCCGCUCUUGGGUGAUUUUCUCACAUUCCCUUAAAUCAUUAUACGCUAUUAACAAUGUUGAACGUGCUCUGUGCCGCAAGGCUAUUAAUAUAAUACAACUUUUAACAACGGAUCUCUUGGCUCUC
rnacentral:misc_RNA from 1 species